rnacentral:lncRNA from 1 species
UUCUGUUAAAAACUUCAACUAACCAUCAGCCUAAUGCUUUCAUCCCAGAGAUUUGAUUGCAUGGACUGCUCUGAAGUAAAUGAGCUCCAAAUUACAUUAUGCUUGAACUAACUGCGUCUACUCACUAGAAGUAUCUCAGUCCACAGCGGCACAGGAAGACAUGAAAGACUCUCUACCCAAAAUAUGUAAGAAGAAACUGAAAACAGAUAAAGAAACAAAGAACAGAAGGGCAGCCAGCAUCAGAACUCAACCUUUUAUUUUUUUAUUUUAUUUUUCACUUUAGUUUUAGUUUUAAUUUGCUCUUUGGAUUUUCAUGUACUGUGUAAGUGUGUGCCCAUUAAUAAAUACCUUGCUAACUAGUUUGAAGUGCA